UUCGGACCUAUUUUUUACAGUCUCUGAUUCGGACGCAGCCUUCCUCUAGUUCCGCGGAGCUCCUCCCUGUCUUUGACCGUUAAUCAGGGAGGUCACAGGUCAUGCUCUUUACUAGUCGCGUUCAAAAUUCAAGACGCAGGGUUGUGUGAUGCGAGCACUGAGCAGGAUUCAAACACCUGGAAUCCUCCAGUGCCGUCUUUCAGGUCAUAAUGUUUUGUGUUGCUUAUCUCCACUUGAUUUAAGUGCCUGGCUUUUACACAGACUUUACUUGUUUUAUUGUAUAUCAUGGCCAGUAAAGAUCAGAAGACAUGACAUCAAAGCACAUUGACUGGCUUCCCCCCUGUUUUAAGGAUUAUUCACCUUGGGCUGUGAUAUCUGCUCUUCAUCAGGAUCAAGCUUGGAUUAGAUGGACACGGGAACACUUGUACAAAAGAAUGCUUUUGCAUUGACUAAAGACAUCAAGCCAGAAACACUGGGCCAUUGCAGUGAGUGAAUUGUUUGCAGAGAAACAUACGCAGAAAGCCAGGGAACCCCAGUCACAAAGGACUGUGUGUGAUCUUCCAUGGUGCUUAAAACCUCCAGGGCACUCCGCGUGUGUGGUGUAUGAUGUCUGUACGGUAGUGCCACCUUAAGUGUGCCAAUAUAGCAGAAAAACCAGAGUGAUUUUGUGUGUUUGAAGUUUUUUGUGUAGAAUAUGCUUGACUGUGCUCCUCAUUCAAUACACUAAAAUAAAGAAGACAUUGUUUAGACUUAAAUAAUUUAAUAAAAUCUGAAUUGGGAUGGAAACUCAUUUGUUUCACUUGACAAAUAGUGGCCAAUAUCUGUUCAACAUGUCCACUUUUAAGCAAAUACAAUAAAGCUGACAAUCACUAAAAAUACACAUGCCCAUCUGAAAUUUUGCAAUUAUAGAUGCAGUGGCUGAUUAUGCUUAUAUAAAAAUGACAACAGUAGCACAAACAAAUAUCCUUGGAAUGAGUCUGUAGCUUCAGAAUUGUUUGUAAUAUAACAUAUUCAAAUAAAACAGACUUAUGUUAGAUUGAUUAAUGGCAAUGACAAGAUUUUCUGUACUGGGUGUUUAGUAUUCAUGUAAAACAGGAACCACUAGAGGGCAGUAUU